rnacentral:rRNA from 1 species
UAACUGGGCGUUAAGUUGCAGGGUAUAGACCCGAAACCCGGUGAUCUAGCCAUGGGCAGGUUGAAGGUUGGGUAACACUAACUGGAGGACCGAACCGACUAAUGUUGAAAAAUUAGCGGAUGACUUGUGGCUGGGGGUGAAAGGCCAAUCAAACCGGGAGAUAGCUGGUUCUCCCCGAAAGCUAUUUAGGUAGCGCCUCGUGAAUUCAUCUCCGGGGGUAGAGCACUGUUUCGGCAAGGGGGUCAUCCCGACUUACCAACCCGAUGCAAACUGCGAAUACCGGAGAAUGUUAUCACGGGAGACACACGGCGGGUGCUAACGUCCGUCGUGAAGAGGGAAACAACCCAGACCGCCAGCUAAGGUCCCAAAGUCAUGGUUAAGUGGGAAACGAUGUGGGAAGGCCCAGACAGCCAGGAUGUUGGCUUAGAAGCAGCCAUCAUUUAAAGAAAGCGUAAUAGCUCACUGGUCGAGUCGGCCUGCGCGGAAGAUGUAACGGGGCUAAACCAUG